rnacentral:lncRNA from 1 species
AGCAGUCAUUUGUCUCAACAACUCCUUCAAUGUAGGCUUAGAAGUAGUGCGAGGAUGAGGAGUUGCUUGGAUAGGCUCAUAAGACUGCAGAUGCUGUGGCUCCUGGACAGGUGGAGGCAUGCAAGUACUCUGGAAUGGUGGUUCUUGAUAUUGAAGCUGUGAAGUACCAUACCAUCCCAGGUCAGGAUCAUUCCACCCAAGGUCGUUGCUAUAUGAAUCAAAAUGAUGCUGAGUAGAGAAUCUAUCCUAAAACAAAUGCUUAAGAUCUUCCCGAUUGGCCCUGAAUUAUGGUGGAAGAUGAAUAAGCCACUCCCAUGCUGCUUCUUCUAAUGAAUGCGGAAAUGCCCUUAAAAACAUGUGAUCAUCAGGGACAUGAAGAGGUUUCUUUGAAGAGCAAAUGGUGUAGAACUCCUCCAAAUGUCUAUGUGGGCAUUAACCUGCAAACCCAUGAAACCUAGGCAGCAAAUUUGUAAGUCCAGAGGUGAGAACGCAAUGANCAUCAACCUCAUCAAGUGGAACCGGCUCCCAAAUAGCACUCUCAAGAAUGGAAGGAUGAGUCAUAUUGUUCUCAACAUAAAAAUCAGCAGAAUAUGCUUGAGAAGCAAUAUCAGAGGCAUAGGCAGAAGUAAUAGUAUCCACAGAGCCAAAACAGGUAGACAUGGGAAAGAAGGGAGAAAAGAAGAAUGCACUGAAAAUAUGCAACCUAAGCUACUUGAAUGCAACACACAAUGACGAACACACAAAAUAGAACAACACACUCACAACACAAGACAAAACACAACACACACUAACACAACAAAAGACCUAAAACCGAACAGUUGGUCCCCGG